rnacentral:lncRNA from 1 species
GGGGACGCGGGCUGCACCCCGGGCAGACGCUCUGCAAUGAGACAGUAAAUGCAUCCCCCGGAUGCCUCUGACAGUCAGGAAAAGACAGAGAUGGACGGAUCUCAGGAAAGAAGGGAGUGAUAUGCAGACUGUCUGUGAGCCAAGCAGGAAGUAGUUUCCCACUGAGGACUGCCCUGACAAGCAGAAGGGAGAAGGGAGAUGCCUGGAGUGAAGAGCGGGUGUGAUGGCUCCUCCCAGCAUCUCUGAGCUGCCUGUACUGGGAAGCCAGGAGGAUGAACCAACUGACCACUUUGUGAACUACUGGAUCCUUCCUUACCGUAGGUGCUUUGAAAAUCCAAAGUCUUAACAGUUUAUGAGACGCAGAUGUGUUUAGCCCACUGUGUGAUAUGGUUUCUGUCCAGUGGGGCUUCACUGACCAUGUCCCCGGCCUCACACACAUAGCUGUCUUCUCUGUCUGCACUUAACUUUUCUCCUAAGUUGUUGGCAUAGUUUAUUGGGC